CCUACGGGGUGCAACAGUGGGGAAUAUUGGACAAUGGGCGAAAGCCUGAUCCAGCCAUGCCGCGUGUGUGAAGAAGGCCUUCGGGUUGUAAAGCACUUUCAGUGGGGAAGAAAGCCUUGGGGCUAAUACCCUCGAGGAAGGACAUCACCCACAGAAGAAGCACCGGCUAACUCCGUGCCAGCAGCCGCGGUAAUACGGAGGGUGCGAGCGUUAAUCGGAAUUACUGGGCGUAAAGCGCGCGUAGGCGGUCUGAUAAGCCGGUUGUGAAAGCCCCGGGCUCAACCUGGGAACGGCAUCCGGAACUGUCAGGCUAGAGUGCAGGAGAGGAAGGUAGAAUUCCCGGUGUAGCGGUGAAAUGCGUAGAGAUCGGGAGGAAUACCAGUGGCGAAGGCGGCCUUCUGGACUGACACUGACGCUGAGGUGCGAAAGCGUGGGUAGCAAACAGGAUUAGAUACCCGAGUAGUC
rnacentral:rRNA from 1 species